rnacentral:rRNA from 1 species
UACGUAGGAGACGAGCGUUGUCCGGAGUUACUGGGCGUAAAGGGCGCGUAGGCGGCUCGGCACGUCCGUUGUGAAAUCGCCCGGCUCAACUGGGCGGGGUCAGCGGAUACGGUCGAGCUUGAGCAAGCUAGGGGGCAAUGGAAUUCCCGGUGUAGCGGUGAAAUGCGCAGAUAUCAGGAGGAACACCAACAGCGAAGGCAGCACUCUGGGCCGGUACUGACGCUGAGGAGCGAAAGCAUGGGGAGCGAACAGG